rnacentral:rRNA from 1 species
AGUCGAACGGUAGCACACAGAGCUUGCUCUUGGGUGACGAGUGGCGGACGGGUGAGUAAUGUCUGGGAAACUGCCCGAUGGAGGGGGAUAACUACUGGAAACGGUAGCUAAUACCGCAUAACGUCUACGGACCAAAGUGGGGGACCUUCGGGCCUCACACCAUCGGAUGUGCCCAGAUGGGAUUAGCUGGUAGGUGGGGUAACGGCUCACCUAGGCGACGAUCCCUAGCUGGUCUGAGAGGAUGACCAGCCACACUGGAACUGAGACACGGUCCAGACUCCUACGGGAGGCAGCAGUGGGGAAUAUUGCACAAUGGGCGCAAGCCUGAUGCAGCCAUGCCGCGUGUAUGAAGAAGGCCUUCGGGUUGUAAAGUACUUUCUUCGGGGAGGAAGGGGAAGAGGUUAAUAACCUCCUCCAUUGACGUUACCCGCAGAAGAAGCACCGGCUAACUCCGUGCCAGCAGCCGCGGUAAUACGGAGGGUGCAAGCGUUAAUCGGAAUUACUGGGCGUAAAGCGCACGCAGGCGGUCUGUCAAGUCGGAUGUGAAAUCCCCGGGCUUAACCUGGGAACUGCAUUCGAAACUGGCAGGCUAGAGUCUCGUAGAGGGGGGUAGAAUUCCAGGUGUAGCGGUGAAAUGCGUAUAGAUCUGGAGGAAUACCGGUGG